AAACGUAGGACACAAGCGUUAUCCGGAGUUACUGGGCGUAAAGGGCGUGUAGGCGGAGAUGUAAGUCUAUUCUGAAAGCUCCUGGCUAAACUGGGAGAGGCGAAUGGAGACUGCAUAGCUAGGGUGCGGAAGAGGGAAGCGGAAUUUCCGGUGUAGCGGUGAAAUGCGUAGAUAUCGGAAGGAACACCAGUGGCGAAAGCGGCUUCCUGGUCCAGCACCGACGUUCAGGCACGAAAGCGUGGGGAGCAAACAGG
rnacentral:rRNA from 1 species